rnacentral:rRNA from 1 species
AUUGAACGCUGGCGGCAGGCCUAACACAUGCAAGUCGAACGAGUGGCGGACGGGUGAGUAAUGUCUGGGAAACUGCCUGAUGGAGGGGGAUAACUACUGGACACGGUAGCUAAUACCGCAUACCAUCAGAUGUGCCCAUGUGGGAUUAGCUAGUUGGUGGGGUAAAGGCGCACCAAGGCGACGAUCUCUAGCUGGUCUGAGAGGAUGACCAGCCAAACUGGAACUGAGAUACGGUCCAGACUCCUCCGGGAGGCAGCAGUGGUGAAUAUUGCACAAUGGGGGCAAGCCUGACGCAGCCAUGCCGCGUGUAUGAAGAAGGCCUUCGGGUUGUAAAGUACUUUCAGCGGGGAGGCGUUACCCGCAGAAGAAGCACCGGCUAACUCCGUGCCAGCAGCCGCGGUAAUAC